GGCUGGUCUGAAGUUAGUGAGUUAUCUCAAUUGUUCACAGUCAGUUACAGGUCAAACUUCCUUGUUCUACUCUUUCUUCCUUCUCACUACUGCACCUGGUCUUAA
ensembl:misc_RNA Y_RNA Y RNA